rnacentral:lncRNA from 1 species
CUCCCAAAUUGAAUGAAUUUAGCCUCAAACAUUAUGACAAUCUAUAAUAACAUACAAGUAGCAAUGGAGAGAACACGUAUUACAGAAUUCAACCACAUCCAGAGUUAAAGAAUUAACGAUGGCUACAUAAUCAGAAAAUAUCGAAGCAUUCCAUCCCAUAAUCAGAUCACAGUUGUAGUCAUUCUUUUCUUUUUCUUUUUUGAUACAGGAAACAGAGCUAUAUGCAUCCAGAGAGAUUGUGUUGGCAACAUCUAUACAAGACAUUUUUUUGGGUACCAACUUGAUUUGCAGAAGAAAAACAAGAUACUUAAAUAAGAAUGCCAUGUUUCUUUCUGGUUUCUGCUGGUGUGUUUUGGGAUUGCAACACUAAGACUACACUUUGUUUAACAAAUUCCCCGAGCAAACGGUUAAUGCAAAAAAGAGCACUCCAGAGGAUUUCAAAUGAAGCAAUUAAAGGAUUUC